GUAUCGUAUUCAACCCCCCUUCUACGAUACUUUGGACCUAACAAUUGGUAUCAGAGCCAGGUUGAUUGAUAUACAAAUCAGGAUCCUUAUCGUACGGAAAAUCAAGAACCUAGCUUUUGAUAUUUGAUUAGGGGAAAUGUUCUUCCGGUUUGUGUUGCUGAAUUUGUCCGUAGGCCUAAGCAAGGAUUAUCUGUUGGAUACUGAACUUUGGACCAGGACUUAUAAAUUUAUACUUUAAAUUUUAAUAAGUUUAUUUUAUAAAUUUGACUUAAUUUAUUUUAAACUUAUUAAUUGAGUUUAUUAUG
rnacentral:lncRNA from 1 species